rnacentral:lncRNA from 1 species
UAGUCAAAUAUCACCCCUCCCCUAGUCAAAUAUCACCCCUCCCCUAGUCAAAUAUCACCCCUCCCCUAGUCAAAUAUCACCCCUCCCCUAGUCAAAUAUCCACCUCCCCUAGUCAAAUAUCCCCCCUCCCCUAGUCAAAUAUCACCCCUCCCCUAGUCAAAUAUCACCCCUCCCCUAGUCAAAUAUCCCCCCCUCCCCUAUCAAAUAUCACCCCGUCCCCUAGUCAAAUAUCACCCCACCCCUAGUAAAAUAUCUCCCCUCCCCUAGUCAAAUAUCACCCCUCCCCUAGUCAAAUAUCACCCCUCCCCUAGUCAAAUAUCCCCCCUCCCCUAGUCAAAUAUCCCCCCUCCCCUAGUCAAAUAUCACCCCGUCCCCUAGUCAAAUAUCACCCCACCCCUAGUCAAAUAUCACCCCUCCCCUAGUCAAAUAUCACCCUCCCCUAGUCAAAUAUCACCCCUCCCCUAGUCAAAUAUCCCCCCUCCCCUAGUCAAAUAUCCCCCCUCCCCUAGUCAAAUAUCCCCCCUCCCCUAGUCAAAUAUCAACCUGCACUAGUCAAAUAUCCCCCCUCCCCUAGUCAAAUAUCACCCCUCCCCUAGUCAAAUAUCACCCCUCCCCUAGUCAAAUAUCACCCCUCCCCUAGUCAAAUAUCACCCCUCCCCUCGUCAAAUAUCAACCUGCACUAGUCAAAUAUCCCCCCUCCCCUAUCAAAUAUCCCCCCUCCCCUAGUCAAAUAUCACCCCUCCCCUAGUCAAAUAUCCCCCCUCCCCUAGUCAAAUAUCCCCCCUCCCCUAGUCAAAUAUCCCCCCUCCCCUAGUCAAAUAUCACCCCUCCCCUAGUCAAAUAUCAACCUGCACUAGUCAAAUAUCACCCCUCCCCUAGUCAAAUAUCCCCCCUCCCCUAGUCAAAUAUCCCCCCUCCCCUAGUGAAAUAUCCCCCCUCCCCUAGUGAAAUAUCACCCCUCCCCUAGUCAAAUAUCCCCCCUCCCCUAGUCAAAUAUCCCCCCUCCCCUAGUCAAAUAUCCCCCCUAGUGAAAUAUCACCCCUCCCCUAGUCAAAUAUCCCCCCUCCCCUAGUCAAAUAUCACCCCUCCCCUAGUCAAAUAUCCCCCUCCCC